AGACUUGACUUGGCAAUCGCUGCAGUGUUGUACACGGCAGAGGAAAGUCCGGACUCCAUAGGACAGGGCGCCGGGUAACACCCGGGAGCUUAGUUAUAAUGGCUGGGCUACGGAAAGUGCCGCAGAAAAGAUACCGCCUCGGCUUACCAUUUUUGGUUACGGGGUAAGGGUGAAAAGGCAGGGUAAGAGCCUACCGCACUUGUGGCAACACCGGUGGCAUGGCAAACCCCGCCCGGAGCAAAGCCAAGCAGAAGGCAUGCGCAACACUUCGGAAACGGGGUGAUGCGGCUGAAGGGCUGUCCGUCCGAGGUCUUCGGGUAGGCUGCACGAGGUGUGGAGAGAUCCACAUCCCAGAUAAAUGAUUGCCUUCGGUCUGUUAAAAUUUUACAAUGAGUUUACACAAAUGAUAUUUUUGCUAAAAAGAUUAAAUCCCCGUCCGGGUAGUUGAUACCCAACCAAAUUUUACGCUUUUUUGUGUAGAUUCUACAUAGAAUUUUUCUGACCGAAAACAGAAUCCGGCUUAUAAGUCAGGUCUAUUG
rnacentral:RNase_P_RNA from 2 species